rnacentral:tRNA from 1 species
GCCUGGGUGGCUCAGUGGUUGAGUGUCUGCCUUUGGAUCAGGGAAUGAUCCUGGGGUCCUGGGAUCAAGUCCCACAUCAGGCU